rnacentral:rRNA from 1 species
GAUGAACGCUAGCGGCAGGCCUAAUACAUGCAAGUCGAACGAUAUUAAGGGGCUUGCUCCUUAAGAAAGUGGCGCACGGGUGCGUAACGCGUAUGCAACCUACCUUAAUCAGGGGGAUAGCCCGAAGAAAUUCGGAUUAACACCGCAUAAAAACACAGGAUAGCAUUAUCCAAUGUUCAAAUAUUUAUAGGAUUAAGAUGGGCAUGCGUGUCAUUAGCUAGUUGGCGGGGUAACGGCUCACCAAGGCGACGAUGACUAGGGGAUUUGAGAGGAUUACCCCCCACACUGGUACUGAAACACGGACCAGACUCCUACGGGAGGCAGCAGUAAGGAAUAUUGGUCAAUGGAGGCAACUCUGAACCAGCCAUGCCGCGUGCAGGAAGACUGCCCUAUGGGUUGUAAACUGCUUUUAUCCGGGAAUAAACCUUUCUACGUGUAGGAAGCUGAAUGUACCGGAAGAAUAAGGAUCGGCUAACUCCGUGCCAGCAGCCGCCGUAAGAC